GAAAGGGGAGAAGGGGGUUCGGUCGCCGGUGGCCCACGGCCGGCGACGCCCCCUGGUCGUCGGCCUGUGGCGGUGCCGGUGGUGCCACGCCCGACGACGGCCGGCCGGAACAGAAGAAAGAACCAAACCGCCAAGGCGGGUUCGGUUCUUCUCAAUCCGGCGACUUCCCGACCAUAUCCCAAGGAAAUAGCGGCCAAAGACGGAGGAGAAGGAGGAGAGGGUGCUCACCUUGCCUCCGGCGAGAUCCCCCCGGCCGGAUCGACGGCGACUGCUCCGAUUCCUCCCGCGGCAAGGU
rnacentral:lncRNA from 1 species